AGUUGGAAGGUUUGGUCUCAGCA
rnacentral:miRNA from 10 species